rnacentral:lncRNA from 1 species
AAAAAAUUAGCCCAUUUCUCCCAUAGUGAUCAGCCAAACCAGAAGAGAAGAGAAACCAAGGACGAACAAACCCUAGGUGGGAAAAAUCAAAGAGAAAGUGUUGGAAUUCAAGGAUUUGAUCAAGCAAAGGUAAAAUUUCUUUGAUUUUGCUAGUGAUUUACCUUACCCAUGCAUUUUUCCUUAAUUUCCAUGGUUAAAUUACAUGUUUUCAUGAUGAAAUUAUGGCUGGUCAAAAUGGGUAUGGAGAGAGAAAGAUGUUGGAAUUGUUUGAUUUUGAGUUAUGUUGGUGUUUAGAGUUAGUUAAACAUGUUUAGAAACAAAACAACAAGAAAAGAAUCCAUUUUCCCCAUGAACCUUCAAUGGCCGAAAGUUCCAAGAAGAAAAGUGAAGAUAAAUUUGCCUAAUUGUGUGUUAAUUAGUUGUGCUUGGUGAAUUGAGGGAUUGGAAAAGAAAUGGAGAAAGUUGGAGUGAAAUUGGACGCAUUGGCCAAUUUAUUGGAUGAAAAAUCGACUUAGGUCAAUACCGGGUCUAGAUGGCUACCUGUGCAUUUUUCAUUUCAUAUCAUGCAUAUAUAUCGAGCCUGAAAUAGCUUAUGACUGUUAGACACAAUUUAAUUGAAAUAUGUGCCAUGGAUUAAGGCUAGGUGGUGAGCCAUUAGAUACGAGUAAAGGACUGUACCCGCGGACUGAAAAUAGGAGUAUAUCGACUCCUAGAACAAUGAGUAAACUUACUAUCAUCUUAAUUAUCUAGAGUAGAUUUAUUUAAUUAAGUGGUUUUAUGGAAAAUGGUUUAAUUGGAAAAUUAUUGUGUUCUAUGGGAAAAUGAGAUUUUAUAAAAUAAUUUUAUAAAAUUUUUGAAAAUUUAAUAAUGAUUUCAAAAAUAGAGUAAUUGGAGACCUAUACUAUGAUUGUGUUGUUUAUCUAUGAUUUUAAAUUAAAUGGCUUAUGAUAAAUGUGGGUAUGACUGGUUAUUUUUAUGAUUUUAAGAAUAUGUGAAUUGCUUUGAUUUGCCUUGAAUGUGUUAAGUGAGUCAUGUCAUACUAUUGUGAUUUUGUUGGUUGGUAGAUUAUAAAGUAGGCACUGCAGUGACAGGGGUUCCGUGGACCAGCCUAAUUAGAGGGGCACGGUUCCCAAUUAUUGAGCUUACCUCGAUUGGAGAGACGCUUAGAAUAACUCCUGAGGUAGGAUUUGUGGGCACUGCAGUGACGGGGGUUCCAUAGGCCAGCCUAAUUAGAGGGGCACGAUUCCCAAUUAUUGAGCUUACCUCUAUUGGAGAGGCGCGUAAGAUAACUCCCGAGGUAGGAUUUGAGUACACUUCACGCUGGCCACCACGUGAAAUUGGGACUCAGCCAACGCCGAGGAACGGCUGUGUUGUUAGAGGUGAAAUGUGUUUGUGUGUGUGACAAUAAACAGCCUUGACGGUCUCGGUAAGAUGCCUUCGCGGGGUAUCCCCGAGAAUGGAUUUUUGGCAAGGGCCAAGUUUUGAAAAGUGCAUAAGCCAUGUUGAGUAAUUGGAUGAAAUCCAAUUAUUUAUAUGGGUUGGGAUGAAUUAUUUUAAUUGUCUCAUAUUACUCGGCUUUAGAUUAUUUUGAUGAUCUCUGUCUACUCACUGGGAUUUUAUAAUCUCAUCCCUUAUUCCUAUACAUUUUUCAGGCUCAGGACAAUUUGUUGAUAGUUGAUUAAGACGAGAAUUAAUCUCGGAGUUGCAUCUUAGAAAGUAAGGGUUCGUAACCCUACAUUUUAUUAGUCAGUUAGGGGUCCACGUGUCACUGUAAAAGUAAUUUUAUUCUUCAGUUAUUUGAUUUAAAAUAUGUAUGAAUAUAUUUAGCUUUUACACCAUGUUUUUGGCGAGUUUCGGUAUUUUCGAAGAAAAAUGACGAAAAUGCCCUUAUGAGCCAGAAAGUAAUAUUUUAUUGUUUUGAUUUGGAAAUGACUUAUGAUUUUUUUGAAAUGUGAGAUUUAAUAACUGUCGCUCACUGGGGAGAUGCAGAAGCUGAUGCUAAGCCUUGCGGGGUUUCGAUCGGCAUUCGGGGUAAUGAGUGCCUAUCGGGACGUCGCGGCGGUUGUCACUGGCUCGAUGGGAGUUUCGGGUCGUGACAUUAUAAGAGUAGGGUCUUUUUUGUCUGUAUAAUGUUUGAAAAACACAAAAAAUGCUAUAGUUUCUAAUUGGAAUUCUUCAUUAACCAAAAAUGUUAUUUUGAUUAAAUAUCUUUGGAUGGAUACUUUAGUGAGAACCAUCAUAUAUUCUUGGAUAUCUUGGUUUUCUGUGUCAGAAUCUGUAAGAUUUUGAACAUUUUGGUUUUUUGUUGUUUUGAAAAGUUGGAUCUGGUUUUUGAUUUGUUGUUGUUCUUUUUCGAGUUUAGAAAUUUUUGUUUUUAUGGAUUUUAUUUCUAAGUUUAAUUCUUCUUUAGUUGUUUUUUUUUUGGUUUUUCGUAUUUGUCAAAAAUAAUGUUUUUAAUAUUAUAUAUAGGUUCUUCUUGCAAGAUUGCCUUGUCUAGUUUUUUUUUUUAUUGAAUCUUUUAAUUUUUGAAGAUAUUCUCUCUUUAAUGUUGAAUCUUGUAUUUUAUCUACGAUUUCAAUCAUAAAUUCUUGGUCUUUUGUCAAUACAUUAAUUAAAUUUUCACUUUCUGUUGAAGAUUGAGAUGUAGUAUGGAUUUCAUCUAUUUGUAAAUUUUUUGAAGAUUUUUCACUAAUUGUUAUAUCAAUAUCAGAUGAUGAUAUUUCUAAAAGCAUUUCAUUGAUUUUUUGUUCAAUUUCUUCCCCUAGUUGGAGUUGAUUAAUUUUCUUUUUUAUUUUACAAUAUUUUGAAAUAUGUCAUGUUUUUCCACAUCUAAAAUAUUUUAUUGUUAAAUUAUUAAAUUAUAUUAAUAAUUUAAAAAAUCCAUUCAUUAUUAUUAAAUUAUUAAUAUAAUUUUUAUUUUUAUUUCUUUUUCUUUUUCUUUAUUUUCAAUUUUUUCCUCAUCAUUUUCUUUUCUUUUCGUUUCUCAUAUCUAUCACCGAUCAUCAGAAAAACCACUAACGACGUUGGAGUGCUAAUUUGACAUUGGUCACGGCCAGAUCAAGUUGUUGAACCUAUCUGGCCAAUGCACUACUUAUCACUUCCCAUAACCACGUCAACACUCCAAUAGCUAGAUCUAAUUGUGACCAACACUAGAUCGACGUUCCAACUUCGCCAAUGGUUUCUUCAAUGGUUGACAAUAGAAAACUUGGUGGUGCCAACAGCAAAGGACGGUAUUGACUGUGGAAGAGAAUGGCAGCAAACUUGCUUAAAAAUAGAAAAGAUGAAAGGUAGAUCAAGAAGAGAAAGAAAAAAAAGAAGGAAAAUGAAUAAAAAAACCUUUUAUAAUGUAAGGUUAGUAAUUUUUAAAAAUGAUUAAAGUUAUUUUUGUAAAAAAAUUUUAGACUUUAUUUCAUUGGGUGUGGAAUACUUAAUACCAAGGGAGGGUAUAUUUUGAGGACCCUUUAAAAACAAACCAAAUAGAGGAAGAAAGAUUCUUUAGGACCAAAUGUGUCGAAAGAGAAAGAAGAGGACUACGAGGAGGCAUUAAUACAAGGCUAGGAAUUCUCUAAACCAAUACCCAAGGUUAGCCACCGAGAGUCGCUAGUUCUUAAGGUUAUCGACUUGUGGUCGUUGAAAUCUCUCAUCGCAAUUUUGAAGUGUAUGAACAUUUUUGGUGCUAAAGAUGUCAUCUAAAAAAUGCAGCAUAAGCAUCAUAUUUAUAGGUAAAUAUGUUAAUCUUAAUCCCACUAGGAAUUUCCUUAACAAAAGUGAACUUAUUC